rnacentral:rRNA from 2 species
UCCGACGGUACAGGGUGAUAGUCCCGUACACCAAAAUGCACAGGCUGUGAACUCGAAGAGUAGGGCGGGACACGUGGUAUCCUGUCUGAAUAUGGGGGGACCAUCCUCCAAGGCUAAAUACUCCUGACUGACCGAUAGUGAACCAGUACCGUGAGGGAAAGGCGAAAAGAACCCCGGCGAGGGGAGUGAAAAAGAACCUGAAACCGUGUACGUACAAGCAGUGGGAGCACCUUCGGGUGUGACUGCGUACCUUUUGUAUAAUGGGUCAGCGACUUAUAUUCUGUAGCAAGGUUAACCGUAUAGGGGAGCCGCAGGGAAACCGAGUCUUAACUGGGCGUUAAGUUGCAGGGUAUAGACCCGAAACCCGGUGAUCUAGCCAUGGGCAGGUUGAAGGUUGGGUAACACUAACUGGAGGACCGAACCGACUAAUGUUGAAAAAUUAGCGGAUGACUUGUGGCUGGGGGUGAAAGGCCAAUCAAACCGGGAGAUAGCUGGUUCUCCCCGAAAGCU